UUCUAAUAUGGCAGAUUAGUGCAAUGGAUUUAAG
rnacentral:tRNA from 1 species